rnacentral:rRNA from 1 species
UACGUAGGGUGCGAGCGUUGUCCGGAAUUAUUGGGCGUAAAGAGCUCGUAGGCGGUCUGUCACGUCGGCUGUGAAAACCCGAGGCUCAACCUCGGGCCUGCAGUCGAUACGGGCAAACUAGAGUACUGCAGGGGAGACUGGAAUUCCUGGUGUAGCGGUGAAAUGCGCAGAUAUCAGGAGGAACACCGGUGGCGAAGGCGGGUCUCUGGGACGGUACUGACGCUGAGACGCGAAAGCGUGGGGAGCGAACAGG